GCGCAGCAGUCGAGAAUUUUUCACAAUGGGGGAAACCCUGAUGGAGCGACGCCGCGUGGAGGAUGAAGGUAUUCGUAUCGUAAACUCCUGUCAAACGGGAACAAGAAAGUGAUAGUACCGUUAGAGGAAGAGACGGCUAACUCUGUGCCAGCAGCCGCGGUAAUACAGAGGUCUCAAGCGUUGUUCGGAUUCAUUGGGCGUAAAGGGUGCGCAGGCUGUGGGGUAAGUCGGAUGUGAAAUUUAGGGGCUCAACCCCUAAACUGCAUUCGAUACUGCUCCGCUAGAGGACUGUAGAGGAGAUUGGAAUUCACGGUGUAGCAGUGAAAUGCGUAGAUAUCGUGAGGAAGACCAGUGGCGAAGGCGAAUCUCUGGGCAGUUCCUGACGCUCAUGCACGAAGGCCAGGGGAGCGAAACGGGAUUAGAUACCCCCGUAGU
rnacentral:rRNA from 1 species